AUUGAACGCUGGCGGCAGGCCUAACACAUGCAAGUCGAGCGAGCGGCGGACGGGUGAGUAAUGCCUAGGAAUCUGCCUGGUAGUGGGGGAUAACUACUGGAAACGGUAGCUAAUACCGCAUACCAUCGGAUGUGCCCAGAUGGGAUUAGCUAGUAGGUGGGGUAAAGGCUCACCUAGGCGACGAUCCCUAGCUGGUCUGAGAGGAUGACCAGCCACACUGGAACUGAGACACGGUCCAGACUCCUACGGGAGGCAGCAGUGGGGAAUAUUGCACAAUGGGCGCAAGCCUGAUGCAGCCAUGCCGCGUGUAUGAAGAAGGCCUUCGGGUUGUAAAGUACUUUCAGCGGGGAGGCGUUACCAACAGAAUAAGCACCGGCUAACUUCGUGCCAGCAGCCGCGGUAAUAC
rnacentral:rRNA from 1 species